AUCCUUGCAAAUUCCACCAAAACCCUUGCUAUUUUCUCCAAGUACACCUCCAGAGUACUCUGCAGUAUCAUCAACAACAUAUGAGUGGUCACAAGUAGAUGAAGCGAACGAAGAGAAGGUUGUCAUUCAUUGAAGUUGAAUAAGCACACAAUUUAAAAGUGUAACGAGCAAGCUGCAAGUGUCAGCAACUAAGAAUUUGAGCACUACUAAGAAACAGAAAAUUAGCUGGUGUUUCUAAGAGCUUAAUUGCUUUCGUAAACGUAGCUGUUGUUAUCAUCUGCUUUACAUUAGACCCUUAUAUUUCAGACAAUUGCAUCUGAUACUUUUAUAGCAAUCUCAUAAUUUUGGUUUUAAAAUAGCUAAGGGGUGGGCCUGCGUUUCAUUUAACCAUCAACGCCCACAUUUGUAAGGAGAAAGCGAUCAAAGCAUUCAUACCACAGCUUACUUCAGAUUGGCAGCAUUUAAGGAACAUAUGCCAGCUUCUGAACUGCUUCUAUUACCUCCCCAUCAGCAUGGUUCAUGAAAUUAUGUUCCAAAUGUAAGUUUUCUUCCGCUUAUUUAGAAAGCCAUGUAUUUCUUUGGAUGGAGUGUAUGGAUUUUUUUUUAAAGUAAGGCAAGGUAUCAAAACCUCUCAAUUGAAAAAGUAGGGACCUUAGCCCUUUUAAAAAUACUUCCUCCCGAACAAAGACACUACUUUAGAAAUCUAUAUCUUACCUCCAAAAACUUCAUCCUCGAUGAAACCUAAAAUGCAAGGUAAAUUUUUGAAAACAGGGGUUCAGGAAGAAUAUUUAUCAAAACCAGAAUGAAGAGAAACUUAUUUUGCAAAUCAGGGUUUUCAACCCCUUGUUCGCCACUAUGACUGGCAAACAAUGGGUGAGCUGCUAUUCACCAUGUCUCACUGAGAACAUUGGUGAAGAAUCAGGUUGUUCGCUAGUGAAAAUGGCAAACCUUUGAAAAGCUAGCAACGAAUGGAAUCCAAGCUGAGGAGGAUAAAAUUCAUCCAAAUGGAAGGGCUAUCCAGAUGGAAGGGCCAUACGCAUAAAAUUCAUCCAGAUAAGGGCUAUCCGGAUAGCCAUCAUGCAUAGCAGCCCUGGU
rnacentral:misc_RNA from 1 species